rnacentral:rRNA from 1 species
ACGAACGCUGGCGGCGUGCUUAACACAUGCCAGUCGAACGGAAAGGCCCUGCUUUUGUGGGGUGCUCGAGUGGCGAACGGGUGAGUAACACGUGAGUAACCUGCCCUUGACUUUGGGAUAACUUCAGGAAACUGGGGCUAAUACCGGAUAGGAGCUCCUGCUGCAUGGUGGGGGUUGGAAAGUUUCGGCGGUUGGGGAUGGACUCGCGGCUUAUCAGCUUGUUGGUGGGGUAGUGGCUUACCAAGGCUUUGACGGGUAGCCGGCCAGAGAGGGUGACCGGUGAGAGGGGGAGGGGGGGAGAGCACAGAAGACUACGGGAGGCAGGAGGGGAGAAGAGGGGGGGAGGGGAGCAAGCCUGAUGGAGAAAAGCCGCGGGCGGGAUGACGGGAUGCGGGUUGUAAACCGAGGGAAGCAGGGACGAAGCGUUGUGUGACGGUACCGGCAGAAGAAGCAACGGCUAACUAAGUG